rnacentral:lncRNA from 1 species
CUCUGCUCCGGUUCCUUUCUGUCUGUCCCAAGAACCGCAGUGCGCGCGGCGCCGCCCGAGGCGUUCCUUGGAAAGUUUCCCCGGCUUGAUUACUUACAGACGGGACAGCUCUGUUCCCACUGCGCUUCCUACAUCCUGUCCGAGCGGUUAUUACCCAACGCUACCCACGUUCCGAUAACAAGGAGAUUCCGCGAACUCCGUCCCAGUCCCUGAAAUAUAGCGUGACUGCCCUCCCCGCCGGGGCUGUAAAGUGGCAGCCGGGCGCCGGCCUCCAGCGGCACCUGCGCCGCCCGCGGGGCGAGGGCCGCCCGGAGCACGAAGUGCGUGCGGCCGCCGGCUUGCAGGUCACGCAACGCGGCCGCCCCGCCCCCAGCCCCCCCAACCUCCGCCCUCGCUGCUUUCGUGCGCGCCGGGGGCUUCCUGGUCGCCCGGGGCCCGCCUCGCGUGCCGACUGGGCCGCGUAAUCCGCCGAGGAAUCCGAUUCCGGGCAGCCCCGAUGCCCUCGCUCCCGGGAGCCUGGGCGGGCGACGCCCUCGUCUGAACGCCGUCGUUUCCAUCUGCAAGGUACUAUGCAAGGCACUGGUCUUCAUCUGAAGAUUUAUCAGCAUACAAGACAGAUGUGGUCUCUUGCCUUGGAUCACACAGUUAAUGGAGGAGCUGGAACCAGAAAAAAAACUGUAGAUUUUUAAUUAAAAGAACUUCCAUUAAUCAAAUGCUGACUCUAUACCAGGCCCGAAGUGUUUCACCUACACUAAGUCAUAUAAUCUCUACUUAUGGUAGGGCAGAACACACCUUCCCACUCCUAGGGCCUCCUGGCCCAUCUCUCCUGCCUCCUUUUCUCUGCCCAAGAGGGAAAUGGCUUAUCUGUGUUUGGAAAGAUUAACAGAGCCCAAGUAAUUCAGUCCCAUCUCUUAUCUCUCGUUUUUGGUAGGCAGAACUGGCUGUCUGAAAAAAGUUUGUUCAGCUUUGCUCUUACAGAUCCUAUGGAGAACUGGGGCAGAAGAUCAGCAAGACACAUACUGGGGUUUAAAAUUAGGAAGCCCAGUUUCUCACAUCAGCUUUCUCAUCAAAUGAGUUACUCUGUGUAUAUGUAAUGGAGAAGCAUUUCAUAAAAAUAACAAGUAACUGUGCAC